rnacentral:rRNA from 1 species
UGGGGAAUUUUGCGCAAUGGGGGAAACCCUGACGCAGCAACGCCGCGUGGAGGAUGAAGUCCCUUGGGACGUAAACUCCUUUCGACCGGGAAGAUACUGACGGUACCGGAAGAAGAAGCACCGGCUAACUCUGUGCCAGCAGCCGCGGUAAUACAGAGGGUGCGAGCGUUGUUCGGAAUUAUUGGGCGUAAAGGGCGCGUAGGCGGCGCGGUAUGUCACCUGUGAAAUCUCCUGGCUCAACUGGGAGCUUGCAGGCGAAACUGCCGUGCUGGAGUGUGGGAGAGGUGCGUGGAAUUCCUGGUGUAGCGGUGAAAUGCGUAGAUAUCAGGAGGAACACCUGUGGCGAAAGCGGCGCACUGGACCACAACUGACGCUGAGGCGCGAAAGCGUGGGGAGCAAACAGGAUUAGAUACCCCUGUAGUCC